rnacentral:rRNA from 1 species
UACGGGGGGAGCAAGCGUUGUUCGGAUUUACUGGGCGUAAAGGGCGCGUAGGCGGCCACCGCAAGUCGACUGUGAAAUCUCCGGGCUUAACCCGGAAAGGUCAGCCGAUACUGCGGGCUAGAGUGCAGAAGGGGCAACUGGAAUUCUCGGUGUAGCGGUGAAAUGCGUAGAUAUCGGGAGGAACACCUGAGGCGAAGGCGGGCUACUGGCCCGUUACUGACGCUCAGGCGCGACAGCGUGGGGACUCGAAACAGG